GGCUUCUUAGUCUAGUGGUCAAAACGCGCGCUGUACGUUCUAACACGGAACGUGGCUUGUCCAUGGUGCUGCAAGGGGAGGUUGCUUCACCCCUUCACACCCCGUGUGGUAUGCGAGAGACACAGGUUCAAUUCCCGGAGAGGCCG